AUGCACGCUGGCGGCGUGCCUAAUACCUGCAAGUCGAGCUAACAGACGAGGAGCUUGCUCCUCUGACGUUAGCGGCGGACGGGUGAGUAACACGUGGAUAACCUACCUAUAAGACUGGGAUAACUUCGGGAAACCGGAGCUAAUACCGGAUAAUAUAUUGAACCGCAUGGUUCAAUAGUGAAAGACGGUUUUGCUGUCACUUAUAGAUGGAUCCGCGCCGCAUUAGCUAGUUGGUAAGGUAACGGCUUACCAAGGCAACGAUGCGUAGCCGACCUGAGAGGGUGAUCGGCCACACUGGAACUGAGACACGGUCCAGACUCCUACGGGAGGCAGCAGUAGGGAAUCUUCCGCAAUGGGCGAAAGCCUGACGGAGCAACGCCGCGUGAGUGAUGAAGGUCUUCGGAUCGUAAAACUCUGUUAUUAGGGAAGAACAAAUGUGUAAGUAACUAUGCACGUCUUGACGGUACCUAAUCAGAAAGCCACGGCUAACUACGUG
rnacentral:rRNA from 1 species